rnacentral:lncRNA from 10 species
CCUGAGGUAGAACGCUUUCAGGAUGGAAACGUCUCAAGACUUGGAGUCAGACCCAUUUAGGUUCAAUGAGUAGUUCUGCCACUCAGUGAAGAAACUCACUUACUGUCACUACGCAUCAGUGUCUUCAUGUAAAUCGCCCGGCUAGAGAUCUGGCUCAUAGUAGGUGCGAAAUAAAUGUUAGUUUCCAUGGUUCAGUGCCAGGGCUGUUUCUCUGACACAGGCCAAAUGUCUAGAACCUAUCCUAAUUAGGGGGAGAAAGAGGUCUUUAAUGUCUUCUGUUUCAUCAUUCUGUUUGCCUACACAGCAAGCAUUUAUCACUGCCAAUACUAAACUGAACUCUUUUCUAUCUCCCACAAGAGAUGCAAUCUUCACUGUCUCUUCCUGGGGUUCUUCCCAGGCUCCCAGGAAGGCAGGUGUCACGCCACUACUGCCACAGCUUCAGGAGGCACACAGCGCGUGGGUUAAUGCAGCCUGCUCCAUGAAAAGCUCCCACUGGCUCUUGCCACUGCCUCCAAGCACAACUUCAUACUGAAAACAUCACACCCCAGCACCAUCAUUGCCCCUAGGGAGAAGACACAAGAAGUCAGAAGGAACCACAAGCCUACAACUUACACUGCUUGGUCCCAUAAAGAAGAAUGAAGAUGCAGGGAACAAUGGGAGGAACACCUUGGAUGUGAUAUCUAAAAUCGAUUCCCACGGUGCUUCAGCCAUGUCAAGCUGGACAACUACAUCUGCUGGGACCAACGACAGGAGGAGCAGGGACAACGACCAAGGACAUCACCAGGUAGACAUCGUGUUGCUAUGUGAAGGUGACCUGGUGGUAGUCACCUUCACUUGUUCCCAGAUUUGAGAGACAAGCAAGUCUGUUACAUCUCCAGUUCCUGCCACAGGUACUUUCAGUUGAAACUUGACGCCCCAGGGAUGGGAAACCCAGUAGUGACACAGAAACUGGAUUAGACAUUCAAAGACCUCAGUCCCAGUUUCCCAACUUAACUAGCUUUUUAAAUGUUUCUUAACAUUUAGGGCCUCACUUUUCUCAUUUUCAAAGUGAGGAUAUAACAUUUUUCACAGGGAGCUGUUCAACGCAAUUACGAAUGAACAAACUAUAGAACACCAUUCAAAUAUGUUAUUAAAUAUAACGUCUCUAGAAAUGUCCCUUUAAAAACAGUACCUGGAAUUUGACUAUCAAAUUUUUAAAAUUACUAUUAUUGAAGCAACAGAAAAAGAUUACAGAAAUUUCAGAGACAUAAAGGUAUAGUCAAAGUAGAGACUCUUGGAUCUUGCAGAAAUGACAGAAUUCUAUUUCCAGCUUCUUUGUCCAACCUAGACAUCAGCUUUUUCCUAUACGGUUUCAUUUCCUACCACAUUUCCUGCCCUUCAUUCAUCCAAAGGUUACAUGUAAGAAUGGGAACAGGCAGAAUUUCAAUAACCAACUACAUAGUACUACAUUGUCCAAAUCACUGAACAAACAAGAUUCUCUUGUCAGAAAGUUCCUUUGUUAUAAAAUCUUUACUAUAGUGUAUCUAUAUUCAAAAUAGAUUAGGGGAUAUUUAUUGAGCACCUCCUAUGUACCUGGCUUUGGAGAUGUAGCAGCCAACAAGAGUUGAGGUGGCUGCCUUCAAGGGGUUUACAUUCCAGUGAGGGAAAAGGGAAGAGGCAACGAACACAUAUAGAAGUCAACAAGAUGAAGAUGACCAACAAUAAAAGAAAUGAAGAGCAUGCUGAUUAGAUUAGAAAUGGAUACGAUUCACUUUAGAUAAGCAAGGGGGCGCUACUCCAAAGACUAAGCAUGGGAUCAAGACCUGAAAGGUAAGAAAAGAGCAUGCAAACAGCUUGUGGAGUAAUCGGCAAGUUCAGCCCAAAGGCAAGGAAAAACCCAGACUCUAGCUAGGCCAUGGCGAGCAGAAGAAGGAGUGCUAUGAGAUGAGGGUGGAGACGAAACAGACCUCCAAUCAUGUCGCAUCCUGUAUGCUGUGGUAACAGGAGCCGUGGGUGUGAUCAAAGGGUAUUCAAUAGGUAAACAACUUGAUUUUGUUUUCAAAAGUAUUAAAUUUGAGAUUAUUUUGUGAACAUUGGGGAGGGGAGCACUAAAAAUGUCUCUAAAUGGGGCAGUAGCAUGAGUUAUGCUUUACAAAAAUUGGGUUGGUAAGACUGUGCAAGACAAACUGAAAGAGGAAGAUGACAUUGGAAACUGAGAUACUACAGGUUGGUGCAAAAGUAACUGCGGUUUUUGCCACUGACCAGCUAUCACAGUCAAAAUGUAAAGGGUGCCCAAAUUGCAAGGGCGGCAAUGGCAAUGAAGAGAAAAGGAUAAAAGUGUGAAAUACCACACAGGUGUGAUAGACGGGAUUUGGUGCUCACUGGAGCAAAAGAGGGAGAACUCAGAGCUACGGAGGGUCAUUUCAGCCUAGCCAGAACGAAUGCUGCCACAGGAAGACAUACCAGGCAUAAAGGUGAGGCCCAGGAACCAGGAGGACAGUGUGUUCCAUUUAAGCCAUGACACCACUUUCUUCUCUCCUUCUGAGUCCACCCUGUUACUUCCAAGGCUGCACACCAGUACCAUUAGUGACCCUGAGCCAUACACCAAACCAACUGAAGAAGGAUAUAGAGGGUUGUGUUUUUUUUUAAAUUCCAUUGGUAAUUCUGAUGUGCAGCCAGGGCCAAAACUCACUGGGCCAGGCAGAGCAUGGAAACUAGAUUAAUUAAAUUUCGUAUAUUUUUGGAGAUGGAGGAUUACUUUGGUCAUUUUCCUUCUGCUUGAAGAACAGUCUUAGUACUCCCUUUGUGGAGCUCUGCUGGUGACAAAUUCUCCUACUUUUCGUUUACCUAAAAUGUCUCAUUUUUAAUGGAUUCCUCCACCCCCAUGAAUUUGAAGAUAUCAUUACACUGUCUCCUGGCUUCCAUUACUUCUGUAAGAAGUCAACAAGCAGCCUGUCAAGGCUGGCACUAAGAAGAUGCAGGAGAGCAUUUGCCUUGGGUACAAAACUAUCCACAGCCAUGUUCCUACCAAAAAUGCAUGAGUAACGCAGUUCCUCCACAUCUUCACCAGCAUUUUAAGUUCUCGCUGGCUUUUAUUUUAGCCAUUUGAUAGGUGCGUAGUGAUAGCCCACUGUGGUUUUAUUUUUUCACUUCCCCAAUGGCUAAUGAUGUGAAAUAUCUUGUCAUGUGUUUAUUUGCCAUUUUUUUUUUGCUCAUGAACUUAUUUCACCUUUUCGUGAAAUAGUGUUUGCCCAUUUUCUAACUGGGUUGUUUUUUACCAUUGAGUUUUGAGAUUUCUUGAUUAUCUAGAUACUAGUCCUUUGUUAUUUGUGGCUUGCAAAUAUCUCCUCCCAGUCUGCCAUUGUCCUUCACGUGGGCUUUCACAGAACACAAGGUUUUAGUUUUGAUGAGGUCCUAACACAGUUGAUUUUUCUUUUUACAUAUUAUGCUUGGGGUAGCAAGUAUAGAAACUAUGCCUAGUUUGGCCAGGCUUGGUGGCUCACGCCUGUAAUCCCAGCACUUUGGGAGGCUGAGGCAGACAGAUCACGAGGUCAGGAGAUGGAGACCAGCCUGGCCAACAUGGUGAAACCCCGUCUCUACUAAAAAUACAAAAAUUAGCUUGGCGUGGUGGCACGUGCCUGCAGUCCCAGCUACUUGGGAGGCUGAGGCAAGAGAAUCACUUGAACCCGGGAGGCAGAGGUUGCAGUGAGCCAAGAUGGCGCCACUGCACUCCAGCCUGGCAACAGAGUGAGACUCCGUCUCAAAAAAAAAAAAAAAAAAAAAAAAACCAACUAUGCCUAGUUCCAGAGCCUUUUUUUUUUUUUUUGAAAAGUUUUAUAGUUUUACAUUUUACAUUUAAAUCCCUGAUCCAUUUGAGUUAAUUUUUGUAUAAGUUGUGAGGUUUAGGUUGAUGUCCAACUGCAAAAGCACCAUUUGUUGAAAUUUCUCCAUUGAAUUGCUUCUGUACCUUUGUCAAAAACCAGUUGAACUUAUUUGUGUGGGUCUAUUUCCAGGUUCUCUGUUCUGUUCCAUUCAUCUAUGUGUCCACGCCUCUGUCAAUAUCACAGGAUCUAAUUAUUGCAGCUAUCACAGUAAAGACUUAGUAUUAAAUACAGUGAUUUCUCCCCGUUUUCUUGUCAAAAUUGUUAUAGCUAUUCUAGGGCUUGUGCUUUUCCCUAUAAAUUCUAGAAUAAGUCUGCCUAUGAAUAUAAAAAGCCUUGCUAGAAUUUUGAUAGGAAAUGCUUUAAAGUUAUAGAUCAAUUUGAGAAGAACUGACAUCUUUACUAAGUUGAGUCUUCAAUGCAUCAUCACUAAAUAUCUCUCCAUUUAUUUCAGUCUUUAAGCAUUUAUUUCAUCAGCACUUUGUAACUUUCAUUAAACAGAUCCCAUUUUGUUAUGUAUAUACCUAAGUAUUUUAUUUUCUUUGGAGUGACUCUAAAAUAUAUUGUGUUUUUAGUUUUGGUUUUCAAAUGUUCAUUGAUAGUAUACGGAGAUGGAGUUGACUGUUGUGUGUUGAUCUUGUAUCCUGCAGCUCUGCUGACCUGAUUUAUCAAUUCUAACAAUUGAUUUAUUUUGGUUUUUGGUAGAUUCUUUAAGAUAUUCUAUGUAAACGAUUAUAUCAUUUGCAAAUAGCAAUGGUUUUUCUUCCUUUACAAUAUGCAGGCCUUUUAUUUCUUUUUCUUGACUGAUAACAGUGUCUUGAACUUCCAGUGUUAUAAGAACGAAUCUCCUUGCCUUGUUUCUGGUCUUGGGGGGAAGUAUUCAAUCUUUCACUAUUAAAUAUGAUAUUCACUCUACGUGUUUGGGAGGUGCCCUUUAUGAAGUUGAGGUAAUUCCCCACUAUUAAUUUAUUGGGAGAUUUUUUUUUUAAAUCAUGAAUAGGUAUUGGAUCUUAUUAAAUGCAUUUUUCCUGCAUCAAUUGAUAUAAUCACAUGCUUUUUCUUCUUUAAUAUGGUG